rnacentral:tRNA from 1 species
GCUGGUGUGGCAGAGAGGCUAUGCAUCCGCCUGCAGAGCGGAAGAUCGGGAGUUCAAGUCUCCCCACCAGCU